CCUGGUCAUUGGAGCGAUGUGGUCCCACCUCUUCCCAUUCCGAACAGAGUCGUGAAACGCAUCAGCGGUGACGAUAGUAUGCGGGCAACUGCAGGCGAAAAUAGCUCAUGGCCGGGA
rnacentral:rRNA from 1 species